rnacentral:lncRNA from 1 species
CGCGCGCGGCGCACGCAGCGCCCCCGCGGGAGCGGCGGGCGGAGGGAAGGGCGGAGCGGAGGCUGCCGGGGCCCGGCGGGGGUGGCGCCGCCUCCGCCUCCUCCCGGCCGAGUCCAGCCCCGCCGGAGGGAGGGAGCGCGGCCGGCUGCGAGGGAACGCGGCUUCCUCCGCUCCCAGUUCCGAGGUUCUGUAAGCGGAGGAGCCCUUUGGUAGCAUCAGGCUAUGAGUUGCUAUGUAAGAUGAACUGUAGGCGUUUACUUGCCCGUCUGUCUGAAUUCGCAUCAUCCUACCUCGGUGGAUGGCUUGGCCUCUGGGAUAGUUCGAGACUUUUGGAUGACCACACUUUAUGCAAAAUCCAGAAUCUUCCUGCCUGGACUCCUUUCUGUUUUCUAAGGGUAACUACUUUUAUGUUUUUAUGAAAUUGUGUCUUACAUGCAUAGGACAUGUUCUGAUAAUGGGCUACAGAUGUUAUAUAUGAAUUAGAAUGGUAAACUGAAAUAUGUCUUUUAAAAAUGGGAUAUAUAAUAUAAAGCGAGGUAAAAACUCUUUGGUUUGAGUAUUUUGAAUUUCUUUUACUAUUUUUUCCUUGAUAAGGGGAUAUUGUUACAAUGCAAUACCUUAAGAUCACAUUCAUCUUGGAAAUUGCCUAACUAAGACUUCAGUCUUAUGGUAAGAUCCACUCUUCAGCUGCUAAAAUUGUGUGUUGCAGUUUUGUCUUGUGACAAGGUGGCACUUUGGAUAUUCAAAUGAAGUUGCGUGCUACAAGAGAAAAUUCAAUUAUUUCUGAUUUGGUUAGUGAAAGAAUAAAUGCACAGUCCUCUACCA